CACGUAGGGCGCAAGCGUUGUCCGGAAUUAUUGGGCGUAAAGAGCUCGUAGGCGGUCUUGCAAGUCGGAUGUGAAAGCCCUGGGCUCAACCCAGGAAGUGCACUCGAUACUGCAGGGCUUGAGUACUGGAGAGGUUGGUGGAAUUCUCGGUGUAGAGGUGAAAUUCGUAGAUAUCGAGAGGAACACCGGUGGCGAAGGCGGCCAACUGGACAGAUACUGACGCUGAGACGCGAAAGCGUGGGUAGCAAACAGG
rnacentral:rRNA from 1 species